ACCAUAGAGAGGGCCUCCUGGCU
rnacentral:piRNA from 1 species